GGAAUAUUGCACAAUGGGCGGAAGCCUGAUGCAGCGACGCCGCGUGAGGGAUGAAGGCCUUCGGGUUGUAAACCUCUUUCAGCAGGGAAGAAGCGAAAGUGACGGUACCUGCAGAAGAAGCACCGGCUAACUACGUGCCAGCAGCCGCGGUAAUACGUAGGGUGCGAGCGUUGUCCGGAAUUAUUGGGCGUAAAGAGCUUGUAGGCGGUUUGUCGCGUCUGCUGUGAAAAUCCGGGGCUCAACCCCGGACUUGCAGUGGGUACGGGCAGACUAGAGUGUGGUAGGGGAGACUGGAAUUCCUGGUGUAGCGGUGGAAUGCGCAGAUAUCAGGAGGAACACCGAUGGCGAAGGCAGGUCUCUGGGCCACUACUGACGCUGAGAAGCGAAAGCAUGGGGAGCGAACAGGAUUAGAUACCCGGG
rnacentral:rRNA from 1 species